GACGAACGCUGGCGGCGUGCUUAACACAUGCAAGUCGAACGCUGAAGCUCAGCUUUUGUUGGGUGGAUGAGUGGCGAACGGGUGAGUAACACGUGAGAAACCUGCCUCCUUCUUUGGGAUAACGCCCGGAAACGGGUGCUAAUACUGGAUAUUCACUGGUCUUCGCAUGGGGGUUGGUGGAAAGGGUUUUUCUGGUGGGGGAUGGGCUCGCGGCCUAUCAGCUUGUUGGUGGGGUGAUGGCCUACCAAGGCUUUGACGGGUAGCCGGCCUGAGAGGGUGACCGGUCACAUUGGGACUGAGAUACGGCCCAGACUCCUACGGGAGGCAGCAGUGGGGAAUAUUGCACAAUGGGCGCAAGCCUGAUGCAGCGACGCCGCGUGAGGGAUGGAGGCCUUCGGGUUGUGAACCUCUUUCGCUCAUGGUCAAGCCGCAACAAUGGUUGUGGUGAGGGUAGUGGGUAAAGAAGCGCCGGCUAACUACGUG
rnacentral:rRNA from 1 species